rnacentral:rRNA from 1 species
AGCGAACGCUGGCGGCAGGCCUAACACAUGCAAGUCGAACGGACCCUUCGGGGUUAGUGGCGGACGGGUGAGUAACACGUGGGAACGUGCCCUUUGGUUCGGAACAACUCAGGGAAACUUGAGCUAAUACCGAAUGUGCCCUUCGGGGGAAAGAUUUAUCGCCAUUGGAGCGGCCCGCGUCUGAUUAGCUAGUUGGUGGGGUAAUGGCCCACCAAGGCGACGAUCAGUAGCUGGCCUGAGAGGAUGAUCAGCCACAUUGGGACUGAGACACGGCCCAAACUCCUACGGGAGGCAGCAGUGGGGAAUCUUGCGCAAUGGGCGAAAGCCUGACGCAGCCAUGCCGCGUGAAUGAUGAAGGUCUUAGGAUUGUAAAUUCUUUCACCGGGGACGAUAAUGACGGUACCCGGAGAAGAAGCCCCGGCUAACUUCGUGCCAGCAGCCGCCGUAAAAC